rnacentral:rRNA from 1 species
CCUACGGGAGGCAGCAGUGAGGAAUCUUGGUCAAUGGGCGUAAGCCUGAACCAGCCAAGUCGCGUGAGGGAUGAAGGUUCUAUGGAUCGUAAACCUCUUUUCUAAGUGAAUAAAGUGUGGGACGUGUCCUAUUUUGUAUGUACCUUAUGAAUAAGGAUCGGCUAACUCCGUGCCAGCAGCCGCGGUAAUACGGAGGAUCCGAGCGUUCUCCGGAUUUAUUGGGUUUAAAGGGUGCGUAGGCGGCCUUUUAAGUCAGCGGUGAAAGUAUGUGGCUCAACCAUAGAAUUGCCGUUGAAACUGGGGGGCUUGAGUAUGUUUGAGGCAGGCGGAAUUCGUGGUGUAGCGGUGAAAUGCUUAGAUAUCACGCAGAACCCCGAUUGCGAAGGCAGCCUGCCAAGCCAUGACUGACGCUGAUGCACGAAAGCGUGGGGAUCAAACAGGAUUAGAUACCCUUGUAGUC